CUCAGUGCAGCUUGGAGCCCUCUGACUCAGAUGCCCAAAGCCAAGAGUCUUGUGACUGGAGAUCAUUUGUGUCCAGUUUCCCGGCAGAGCAAUGCAAGGCAGGCAGUGGGCAUGCCGUCCGAGAGCUCCUUAAGUGCCUUGGUUUUCCCAUCAGUAAGACGUUCCUGCUUCAUGGAUUUGUGAGGAUUAAAUGAGAAGGAAUGUAAAGCAACUGACCCUUCCUGAGUGUCUGAAGCCCUGAUCGCUCUGAGCUGUGCAGGGCCUCAGCUGGGUCGCCAAGAGAACUCUUGAAGAUUUUUAGACCAGCCCAGUCUCUGCAAGCAAUUCUUCCACGGAAGUCUGGCCCAAUAAUGAAAAAAGGAAUUCUCAACUUUACAAACAGCACUAGAAAAGAUUAAAGAGGAUCUGAUUCCUAACCCACUGGACACUUGUCCAUUUUCCCUCCAUCCUCAGCCAGCCCAAAGGGCUCCAGCCCCUUCCUCACCCAGCCGCACCCAAUGCCCUCCACCCAGCAGGCCUGGAUCAUAUAAAGCUCUCGUGAGACCUGGAGAAGCAGCAAUGGCAAAACCAGCAUUGUCUAUGGGAGGGGCUAGGAUGUAAAAACAAUCCAGGUUAAUAAGUGUAAAAACAUCCAGUCAGUCAACAUGGGUUAACUUUGAAAACAUUGUGCUGAGAAAAGGAACCAGUCACAAAAGCCCACAUAUGAGAUGAAAGUCCAGAACAGGCAAAUCUAGAGAGACAAAGUAGAUUGUUGGCUACCUGGGGCAGGGGUGACAGCUAAGGGGUACAGGGUUUCUUUUUGGGGUGAUGAAAAUAUUCUAAAACUGAUUGUGAUCAUGGAUACACAGCUCUGUGAAUUCACUGAAAAUGAUUAAACUGUACACUUUAAAUGGGCGAAUUGGAUGAUGAUACGGUUUGGCUGUGUCCCCACCCAAAUCUCUUCUUGAAUUGUAGCUCCCAUAAUUCCCAUGUGGUGUGGGAGGGACCUGGUGGGAGAUAAUUGAAUCAUGGUGGCGGCUUCCCCCAUACUGUUCUCAUGGUAGUGAAUAAGUCUCAUGAGCUCUGAUGAUUUUAUAAGGGAAACCCUUUUCACUUGAUUCUCAUUCUCUCUUGUCUGCCGCCAUGUAAGACCUGCCUUUCACCUUCCACCAUGAUUGUGAGGUCUCCCCAGCCAUGAGGAACUGUGAGUCCACUAAACCUCUUUUUAUUUAUAA
rnacentral:lncRNA from 10 species